rnacentral:rRNA from 1 species
AGCAGCCGCGGUAAUUCCAGCUCCAAUAGCGUAUAUUAAAGUUGUUGCAGUUAAAAAGCUCGUAGUUGAAUUUCGGGAUCAAAGGAUCGGUCAUGCCUUGGUAUGUACUGGUCUUAUUGGUUCUCACCUUCUAAAGAACCAUAAUGUCAUUCAUUUGAUGUUAUGGGGAAUUAGGACUGUUACCUUGAAAAAAUUAGAGUGUUUAAAGCAGGCUUUACGCUUGAAUACAUUAGCAUGGAAUAAUGAAAUAGGACAUCAGAUUCUAUUUUGUUGGUUUCUAGGAUCGAUGUAAUGAUUAAUAGGGAUAGUUGGGGGCAUUAGUAUUCAAUUGUCAGAGGUGAAAUUCUUGGAUUUAUUGAAGACUAACUACUGCGAAAGCAUUUGCCAAGGAUGUUUUCAUUAAUCAAGAACGAAAGUUAGGGGAUCGAAGACGAUCAGAUACCGUCGUAG